rnacentral:rRNA from 1 species
CCUACGGGUGGCAGCAGUGAGGAAUAUUGGUCAAUGGCCGGAAGGCUGAACCAGCCAAGCCGCGUGAAGGUCAGUGCCCUAUGGGCGUUAAACUUCUUUUGUGCGGGAGCAAUAAUGGUCACGUGUGGCCAGACGAGAGUACCGUACGAAUAAGCAUCGGCUAACUCCGUGCCAGCCGCCGCCGUGAUACGGGGGAUGCAAGCGUUAUCCGGAUUUAUUGGGUUUAAAGGGUGCGUAGGGUGGGAGGUAAGUCAGCGGUGAAAUGCCCCCGCUCAACGGGGUGAAGUGCCAUUGAUACUGCCUGGCUGGAAUGCGGAUGCGGUGUGCGGAAUGUGCGGUGUAGCGGUGAAAUGCAUAGAUAUCACACAGAACACCGAUUGCGAAGGCAUCUCACGAAUCCGCGAUUGAUGCUGAUGCACGAAAGCGUGGGUAUCAAACAGGAUUAGAUACCCCAGUAGUC